rnacentral:rRNA from 1 species
GACGAACGCUGGCGGCGUGCCUAAUACAUGCAAGUAGAACGCUGAAGGAGGAGCUUGCUUCUCUGGAUGAGUUGCGAACGGGUGAGUAACGCGUAGGUAACCUGCCUGGUAGCGGGGGAUAACUAUUGGAAACGAUAGCUAAUACCGCAUAAUAGUAGAUGUUGCAUGACAUUUGCUUAAAAGGUGCAAUUGCAUCACUACCAGAUGGACCUGCGUUGUAUUAGCUAGUUGGUGGGGUAACGGCUCACCAAGGCGACGAUACAUAGCCGACCUGAGAGGGUGAUCGGCCACACUGGGACUGAGACACGGCCCAGACUCCUACGGGAGGCAGCAGUAGGGAAUCUUCGGCAAUGGACGGAAGUCUGACCGAGCAACGCCGCGUGAGUGAAGAAGGUUUUCGGAUCGUAAAGCACUGUUGUAAGAGAAGAACGAGUGUGAGAGUGGAAAGUUCACACUGUGACGGUAUCUUACCAGAAAGGGACGGCUAACUACGUG